CAGCAGCAAAGAGAGGCAGAACAGAGGACUACAGAGAGUUGGACCUACGCGGCAACAGUCAGCCUCACUGGACUUACUUUUCAAGAAGUUACGACAGAAAGACAACUGGGGAUGUGGUAAAGAUACCAGAACAUCUACGGUCCUAUGAGCUGUCAACCGCAGACACAAGCCUGUCAAUCCACCUGCAGUCUGGUCUCAACGAUACAGUCCCUCUCUCGGCAUACAAGACUCCCAAGCGGUUUAUUCAAGUGAGACAGAACUGAGUUCAGCACAAUGGCAGCUGCAUCCCCAGAACAACCAAUGGUUCUUCGUGUUGUUGAGACAGACAGGGCUAGAAAAUUAAAACUCAGCGCACGACCAGCCUCUGUUGAUGCACUGAUCAACAUUAUUAAAGAGCAGUUGGAAAUUGACCUUGACUUCAGUUUGCUUUAUGAAGAUUCAGACUUUGACGGGAAACUUACUUCCCUUGCAGACAUUGAGGAAUUGCCACAAAAAGCUGUUGUGCACAUCUCACUUUCACAAGACUCCAGCUCGAUUGCAUCUACUGAUCUACUUUCAGAUGUGUCAUCUCCAGAACGUCUCAGCAGGUGGAUAGUAAUUGAGUUGCCUUAACAGAAAACUGUAAGUCAUAUUAACUGCAAAUAUUUGAUUUGACUUAAUUAGCACUUUUAAUUUAACUGCUAUCAAAAGGUACAAGUAAGAUGUAAUCCAAAUUUUUAUGUUCUGGAAAAUUUGACUUUUGAGUUGAUCAAGUACUGGUAACUUGUUCGGGUUUACAGUGCUGUUUUCUAAAGGCUAUCCAUCAUAUUUUAUUCUACUUUACUUGUAUUAUUUAAGCUUGUACACGGAACAUGGAAUUUACUACACAAUAAAUAAAUCAGCUGUGUCCCCUCAUUUUGAAGAUUUAGAAGAGGUUUAACAUGGCUCUAGAACCCAAACAUCACCAGUUUACUGAUGAACAUUGAGCAGUUACCUUUGGAACAACACUGGAAUGUAGAAGCCCACUGUACACAGCCCUUUACAGAAACAACACCACCAAAGAGAGAUUAGAUAUAUGAUGACGGCAAUUAGAGGGAAAACAUCCUUAGAAAGCCAAGUGUAAUAACUUAUCUUGACUUAGUGCUGAAAACAAGCCUGUUUUUCUAUCAGUAAUGAAUAAUCGCAGGCGCUGCCAUUACAAAAAGACACCUUUCCUGUGUACUUCUCAGAUGAUAGGCCAACUUUCUUUUAGAUUGGUGCAAUGUCACUUGUAUUAGGGCUUUUCCAAUGUCAGCUCUUGCAGAAGAUCUGAUUAACUUCUUUUACCUCCACUGCAUUGACAUGACAUUGUUCUGUUUUAAUUUAUAUUUGGUUACAACAUUGUUGGAUAGACACUUACUGUAAUGGAAUUACAAAUUAUAUGGUCUAGUAUUUAACUGGUAGCUGGUCAGAAGAUUGUUUAUUACAUUUAAAACAGUCAGAUAAGGGUUUUGUUAAAACAGUGAGUCAAGUUUUGUUGAGUAGUUACUUUACUAUUCACCACAUUUUUUGUUUUACAUUUUUCCUUACAAUUUUCAGUGAACAAAAAUCAUAUGUAUUAUAUGUAUUCAUCAGUAAUGGGGAAGAGGAAAAAGUAUAAAAUAAAUUGAACAAUAAGAAAUCAGUAAUAGAAAUAAAAGCAAGACAAUGUAAUAUAUAAUGUUGUACUAUUCUAUACCAUAAAUAAAAUAAACAGGUAUAAAUUUGAUGUUGGUGGAUGAUAUGCAGUGGGUACAUGUCAAAUGAGUUUUA